GUGCUCAAUUUCAGCAGCAUAUUUGCUAAAGUUAGAACAAUAUAAAGAAGAUUAGCAUGGCCCUUGCACAAGAAUGACAUGCAAAUGAUGGAAGGAACAAAUGAUGCAU